UCUAGUAAGUGGUUCCUUCCAAUGUGCACACCAUGGAGCAAAGAUAUACUAGGCAAGAAGCUUGAUACUCUGGUGCGUGCACAGUAUCAUCAGUGGAGAAGGAGAGAAAGUGUAGAGUGACACACACAGCGUUAGAUUUGAUUUGAGCUGACAGUGGUGGGAAGGACUCGCAGGAGUUGGCUGGCUGAAAGAGCAACAAUGGAGUCUUUUUGCGGGGAGAGAGGUCAUCCUGUGGCAGGGCAUGAAAUAUGGGCAGCCACACAAACCGAGGCAUUGACUGUGUAAAACACUGAACAGCGGGGAGAGGAAGAGAAGAUGCACCCUGUUAAACGUGACAGAAAUCAGUAGGCAGGACUAGGCCAGAGGAACCCCUCUAACCACACGCUUUCUUCUCACACCAGAAUCAGGCCUCAUCAAUCUGAUGCUGUGUAUGUGUGUGUGUGUUUCUUAUCUCACUGGCAGAAACUGUAAAGAACAUUGUGAUUAUAUUUAUUCUGACUAUGCCAUGUUGAAUAAAAAUAACUAUUUAACACUUAUCAACAAAUAGCUUAUAUAAAGUAAUUGGACCUCUUUUUCACAUUGUGGGUGGUGACAGUG
rnacentral:lncRNA from 1 species